GUUGCAUGACUUGAUUAUGAAAGAUUUAUCGCUUAUGGAUGGACUCGCGUCAGAUUAGGUAGUUGGUGAGGUAACGGCUCACCAAGUCAACGAUCUGUAGCCGAACUGAGAGGUUGAUCGGCCGCAUUGGGACUGAGACACGGCCCAGACUCCUACGGGAGGCAGCAGUGGGGAAUAUUGCGCAAUGGGGGCAACCCUGACGCAGCAACGCCGCGUGCAGGAAGAAGGUCUUCGGAUUGUAAACUGUUGUCGCAAGGGAAGAAGACAGUGACGGUACCUUGUGAGAAAGUCACGGCUAACUACGUGCCAGCAGCCGCGGUAAUACGUAGGUGACAAGCGUUGUCCGGAUUUACUGGGUGUAAAGGGCGCGUAGGCGGACUGUCAAGUCAGUCGUGAAAUACCGGGGCUUAACCCCGGGGCUGCGAUUGAAACUGACAGCCUUGAGUAUCGGAGAGGAAAGCGGAAUUCCUAGUGUAGCGGUGAAAUGCGUAGAUAUUAGGAGGAACACCAGUGGCGAAGGCGGCUUUCUGGACGACAACUGACGCUGAGGCGCGAAAGUGUGGGGAGCAAACAGGAUUAGAUACCCUGGUAGUCCACACCGU
rnacentral:rRNA from 1 species